AUCGACCGGAUGCCCAAGACAUCAACCGGAAUUAGGCUCUUUUGAGAAGAAAACAAAGAGAGUAACCAAAUAUAGAACAGCUGAGUGCAUUCACCAAUCUGGGAGCCCUGAGAGUGCUUUUUCUAACAACCACAGUGUUACAUAUUUCCUUACACCAUGGGAUGAUAAAACACAGGACACAUGGCUCCAUUCAAGGCUAACUGAUUGCACAACGGCUCUGAGCAGGAGAGAGCAAAAGGUGAACCACAGUUGUACAGCUUGCUGGUGGUUGGGGUCACAUUGGACUAUCAAUAUCCAGGAGAUGUUGAGAAAAAGAGGGGAUCCUUUCCAACAAGUCAUCCAGCAACUCUGGGACAGAAGGAAAGCUGUGGGAAGAAAAGCAGGGUGCUGGUUUCUAGGACACUAAACCUCAUGGUAUCACAUCGGUAUCCUCGAAUUCAAAGUAUCAAAGUACAAUUUACCGGUAAGUAUUGUCAAAAGUUUAAUUGAUUCAUAUUUUUGAAAGAAUCUUCUCUUCAGU
rnacentral:sRNA from 1 species